rnacentral:rRNA from 1 species
AACGUAGGUACCGAGCGUUAUCCGGAUUUACUGGGCGUAAAGCGCGUUUCAGGCGGUUUGGCAAGUCGGGCAUGAAAUCUCUCGGCUCAACCGGGAGAGGUUGUCCGAUACUGCUAGACUUGAGGGCAGUAGAGGGUGGUGGAAUUCCGGGUGUAGUGGUGAAAUGCGUAGAUAUCCGGAGGAACACCGGUGGCGAAGGCGGGUCUCUGGGCCGAUACUGACGCUGAGGAGCGAAAAGCGUGGGGGAGCGAACAGG